CCUACGGGUGGCAGCAGUAGGGAAUAUUGCACAAUGGGGGAAACCCUGAUGCAGCGACGCCGCGUGAGUGAAGAAGUAAUUCGUUACGUAAAGCUCUAUCAGCAGGGAAGAAAAUGACGGUAACUGAGUAAGAAGCCCCGGCUAACUACGUGCCAGCAGCCGCGGUAAUACGUAGGGGGCAAGCGCUAGCCGGAUUUACUGGGUGUAAAGGGAGCGUAGACGGUAGUGCAAGGCUGGAGUGAAGGGCGGGGGCUCAACCCUCGGACUGCAUUGGAAACUGUACGGCUGGAGUGCAGGAGAGGUAAGUGGAAUUCCUAGUGUAGCGGUGAAAUGCGUAGAUAUUUGGAGGAACACCAGUGGCGAAGGCGGCUUACUGGACUGUAACUGACGUUGAGGCUCGAAAGCGUGGGGAGCAAACAGGAUUAGAUACCCGGGUAGUC
rnacentral:rRNA from 1 species